rnacentral:rRNA from 1 species
GAUGAACGCUGGCGGCGUGCCUAAUACAUGCAAGUCGAGCGAACGGACGAGAAGCUUGCUUUUCUGAUGUUAGCGGCGGACGGGUGAGUGUCACGUGGAUAACCUACCUAUAAGACUGGGAUAACUUCGGGAAACCGGAGCUAGUACCGGAUAAUAUUUUGAACCGCAUGGUUCAAAAGUGAAAGACGGUCUUGCUGUCACUUAUAGAUGGAUCCGCGCUGCAUUAGCUAGUUGGUAAGGUAACGGCUUACCAAGGCAACGAUGCAUAGCCGACCUGAGAGGGUGAUCGGCCACACUGGAACUGAGACACGGUCCAGACUCCUACGGGAGGCAGCAGUAGGGAAUCUUCCGCAAUGGGCGAAAGCCUGACGGAGCAACGCCGCGUGAGUGAUGAAGGUCUUCGGAUCGUAAAACUCUGUUAUUAGGGAAGAACAUAUGUGUAAGUAACUGUGCACAUCUUGACGGUACCUAAUCAGAAAGCCACGGCUAACUACGUG